GACGAACGCUGGCGGCGUGCUUAACACAUGCAAGUCGAACGGAAAGGCCCUGCUUUUGUGGGGUGCUCGAGUGGCGAACGGGUGAGUAACACGUGAGUAACCUGCCCUUGACUUUGGGAUAACUUCAGGAAACUGGGGCUAAUACCGGAUAGGAGCUCCUGCUUCAUGGUGGGGUUUGGAAAGUUUCGGCUGUUGGGGAUGGUCUCGCGGCUUAUCAGCUUGUUGGUGGGGUAGUGGCUUACCAAGGCUUUGACGGGUAGCCGGCCUGAGAGGGUGACCGGCCACAUUGGGACUGAGAUACGGCCCAGAAUCCUACGGGAGGCAGGAGUGGGGAAUAUUGCACCAUGGGCGGAAGACUGUUGCAGAAACGCCGCGUGCGGGAUGACGGGCUUCGGGUUGUAAACCGCUUUCGCAUGUGACGAAGAGUGAGUGACGGUAAUGGGUAAAGAAGCACCGGCUAACUACGUG
rnacentral:rRNA from 1 species